AAUAUUCUUACAUAAAUUGGACAUGCAUGGGGACCUAGAAACCCUGUUAACUUAUCUCCAUCUUUCCAACUUUGUGUCCUCACAUGCUUUAUCUCAUUCCAUCAAUACCUACAUCACAAAACCAAGAAGGGUCGGGUUCAGCUUUGAUGGUUACUUUUGUCUGCUGGGUUGGGUCGCUUCCAUGGUUGCAUUCAUAUACAUGAGAGACAUACAAAGACCAUGCAUGCAUAGGGUUUCAUUGAUAUAAUUUGUACGAUUAAUUGUCAAGCAAGCAUCCGUAUCACUCAUAUUUGGUUUGACUUAAUAUGGAUAGAUAAGAUUUUAAAGCAAAAAAAGAAAGAAAAAUUAAAGGGUUUGAUGAUAUGAUAUGAUCGUGUGGAAAGCAUUUUAGUGGAUUAUCCUAUAGGACUUUCACAUGGAUUGGUGUUUCAUUUGCCACGAAUUACUCUACUCUACCAAUGAAUCUAUCUUUGUUUUUCAUCACUUGUAAUGAUUCUCUCUCUCUCUCUCUACAUCUCUUUUUCCAUGCUAAGUUGUUAUCAUUAAUAGUAGAAACCAAGGAUUCAACAAAUGUCUUGGAGACUAAAGCAUGCAUGUCCAUAUGUAUAUAUACAUGUAAAGUUUUCAUCCAAAUCCAAGUGGUCAAUGCUAAAAGCAAAAUCUUCAAGAUUGGCUUACCCAGCCAGCCAGCUAGCAAGCCA
rnacentral:lncRNA from 1 species